rnacentral:tRNA from 1 species
GUCGGGAUGGCCCAGCCUGGUACGGCGUCGGACUGCUAAUCCGAUGGUCUCACGACCUCCGGGGUUCAAAUCCCCGUCCCGGCGC